rnacentral:lncRNA from 1 species
CUCAGAAAGGACUUACAAUUAGGAAAAACAAAGCCAGAAACAGUGACUCCUGAGUCUGUGUCUGGGUCCAGGUAACUGGACAUUCCAUCCUUUUACUGAGUUUUAUCAGUAAAUGUCUUUAAAUGAAUCACACGGCUUGUAUUUAUAGACUGAAUGUAAACUACACGUCCUUUUCAGUGGCCCUUGAAUCACGAGGGGUCCUGGAAUCCGAAUAUGGCCUCGGGAGCACAGAGGGACUGAGCAGGCCUGAAGACCACCUUCCCCACCAACAUCCUGUCGAGACCUGCCUUCUCGUCGCCCCCCUUCCCUCGGACGCCCAGCCCUGCUUCUGCUGCCGUUCUCCAGAUCAUUUUCCGUGAAAUACGACAGCUGGUCCUAAGCUCAGCUCUUAAAACUCCACAGCAGCCACACACAUGGGGAAGGAUCCCUCUGCAAACCUACCAGAUCCCACUUCUCUUCACAGUCUUCAGAAUGUGACGCAGGCCCUGCAGGAGCCAUUUUUUCAGCAAGGCGCGCUCACGAAAGCUGGAUUCAGCAGGCAAGCAAGCAUAUGUGAAAUUUAGAGAUGUAAAGUUCCCGGCACAACUACGUCACAGCUACACUACACCACGGCCCAGCAGAGCAGGCCUGGUGGUUUCCGUUGCCUUAAACUAGGCAGGUGAGCUUCAGACACUCCCACCCUGUGCUCCCCGGCCCCUUCUCCCAUCUGCGUCCACCUCUCUUCUCUAAGGUGGUUCUCAGCCCACCCGUAGCCCUGCCUUCUGUACACGCCCUCCCUCCUACCCCUCAGCCUUCUACAGCUGCUUUGGGGUAUGACUGCUGCCAUUAUGAAACCUAGCCCCUACCCCUCUCCCAAGGAAGGCACCUUGGGCGGGGGCCCUCCCACUCCUUCCUUUGCUCUCUCCUCCUCUUGCUUUGCUUUCUCCAUCCACUUCUUUCUGGCUCAUGUGUCCACUGAACGGACCUUUCUCCCAGAAUGUGUCUCAGAGGCAUGAACUCUGCAUCUAAGCACAACUGUCCCAUAUCCCAUUGCUUUAGGACAUUGCUCUGUGCAAAAUAAUUACCAAAGGAAUCUGCCGUCAGAUUAUACUUUAGAGGGUAUUCAUAGGGGCAUAUCCAGGUUUUGCAGGACUUCAAGCUUUACAACUUGAGGAAAAAGAAUGUGAAAUUAGAUAUGAAAGUGGCAUUUAUUUAGAACGAGAAAAGAAAGCCAAGCAACAGACCUGAGAGCUUGGUGGCUGAGGCCACUUUCUUCCCAGAUCUGGUUGAGGGAUUUAGCAGAAACGUGUCCCUGGUGCUGCUCCCCGACUCCUGCAUCUUGACUUCCUCUCCCUGCCCAGAGCAGGCCAAGGGGACAGGGGGGACCCUGAGAGCAAAGCUUAGCUUCACUGAGAAUCCCCCUCUGGCGACAAAUAGGUCUGCUGGUGGACCAGGCAUCCCUGAUCUUUACUGCUGGCCCCAUCCUCAGCGUGACCACUGAAGGCCUUGGAAAAGGCUUUCCCACUUGGGACUUUCCUCAGCUGCAAACUGGGGUCAAUACCAGCUACUCCUCAGUUCAUGGUGAGAUCAUUUACUUAUGUAAUUACUUGGUAACACUUGGCACUAAACACCUAAUAAAUGGUUAACUAUUAGUAAUAUGCUUGAUUAU